ensembl:lncRNA
GCCCGAACCCACAGACACUUGUGGUUAACCCACAUGACCUGGUUAUGGCCAGCAGAAUCACAUGCUUAUUUAUCCAGCCAAGCCAACCAUUAGGGAAAACACACACUAUCAAGAUCUUUUAUCCAUUUGAUCGACAACAUAGCCAGACUACUUCGCAGGGGCCCGACUAAUCCAUCCAUUCAUGUACCACUAUGAUGAAAAAAUGGCUCAUGUAUAUUGAAUGAGGAUAUAAAUAGUGCACACCGCUGGAUGAAAAGAAAGAAAAAAAGAGUAGUUAGCAGAGCUGUGGCGUGGAGUCUGUAAAUACGCUUGUAUGUGUGUUUAUUUAAAGCAAGUAAAGCCCGUAGCAGCCUCACUACACAUGGCUAUGCAUUAAUUAGUGCAUGCUGCAGUGACUGAUUCAGUUUUAUGAGUAAAAUCUUCAUCACUGUACACACUCUCCACACAUAUUUAGAGGCGAUGCAGUGCGUGCUGUGUGCAUGUACAGUCCCCUUAUUCACACACACACAACGAAGUUCAUGACACUGAAGUAGAAGCAUUCAGAGCCUGCCUGGUGGGUUUCUGUACAGACACACACACACACACACACACACACACACACACACACAAUGCAUCUCAGUUACAGGUGGCAGCUACUGGCCUGUCUGUGGUCCACUGGCAAGUCCUCAGUUGUGGUCGGAAAACAACUGCAUUUACACCACAAGUUCCCCUCCUAACGCACAUGCACACACAUGCAUGCACACAGCACGUAUAUUAUCAACAAAUUGGCCACUGCAUGUGAUGCAAAGCAGCAGCAUGCAGUUGCUCUGCUUACAUCACCAGCGAGCGGGGCACUGCAACGACUCUUUCUUCUUUCUUGCUGCUAAUGUUAUUGAUACACAUGCAGAGGAGACCGGCCAAAGCUGCUCUAUGGUCUGCCUUCACAGACCAUCCACGACGGGGGGAAGAGACGUGUUCAGCAGCACAUACAUGUUCCCCAGUCAGAAUGGAUGCCUGUGCAGUGCUGUUUCCAGACGCUCCACAUAUCUUCCUUUUAAAAAAAAAAAAAAAAAAAAAGGAAAGAUGAUAUGGAAUGGCGAAUCAUGGCAUUUCGCACCGGCUCUCCCUUUUCCUCGCUGGAAUGUGGGUGCGCGUCGUGCGCUCAGUUCACAUUAAUUCACCGGGACAUAAUUUAGCCAUAACGCAGGAUGAUCAUUAAUGCACAAAGAAGGGGAGAAAAAAUGGGAGGGAGAGCACAAGCGUGGCCAGCAGGAAUAGCUCCAAACACACAAGUAUAAGCAUCCAUUUUCCUUCUCCUUACCUAUAAUAUCCAGCGAUGCGUGCUCCCACUCCUCUCACUCUCUCUUUUCCUUUCUCUCCCUGUUUUGUCGUUUUAUGUUGCACGCUGACACGUACACCUCAGAGCCCGGUCGUCUGUCAACAGAGACUCGUGCUGGCUCAUAUUGCAACGGGCUCCGAUCAUAACAAUAAUGCAGAGGAAAUCUCUUGCUAUUCGUUGUAGGAAAAAUACAGGGGUGCCAACUGAAGACUGUACAAAUUGAUGCGUACCAUCGCCUCUUCCCCACCCCCUUUCGCCCCCUUUUCUCUUUUGCCCCCCACCCCUCUCCCACCCUACCUACUCCCCCCU